UCCCACUCUUUUAAAUUGGAGGCCAAGACGAAAGGAUUGUUUAGUGGUGCAACAACUGUUAUUACAUUUCGCUUUCCCUCAAAGGCUGCUCUGCAGGAGAGUGUUGAUGCUUUUAUCAACUGUGUUGUGAAAAAUAGAGGAUUCAGCUAGGGAAAGCAUGUUGCCUGUUUGAUCAGAAUGUGGAAGGACCAGUCACAUAUACAAUUGUUAUACUUUUGAUGAGAAUACUCCACUUGUUGAUGAUCUAGAGUACAUCUCUGCAUUGAGUGAAACAAUAUUCAAGGGACUGCAAAGCGGAGAUAAGGAUGGGGUCUGGCUAAUGCAGG